UGUAUUAAAGACAGGAAUUAGGCUCCUUGGGUAAACACUUGCCUCUAAGUUCUGUCAAAACCUUUUGUCAAGACCUUGAAUAUGACUGCAAUAAGAUGCAUCUCUUGUUGCCUCUACACAGCCUACCACUAACAACGAAGAACACAGUCAGCCCUACAGUCAAAACUUCAGAAGAAAGCCCCACAGAUUCUUAAGGAGUAUGAGACUACAGGUAUCCUGUCAGUGCCAUCGAGGAAGCUUCUUGGGAAGACUUACAUAAGAGAUUUGGUGGAGAGUUACCCUCUUAGUGCAGAAAAGCUGGCUGCAGCGAAAAGCAUCAUCACCACCUUCCCAUCACUGAGUGUCUGAGUAGAAGGACAAGGGGAAGGAUUUUUAGACAUAUACCAUGUGUACUCCACCAUCUCUGAGGAGCUACCUGCAUCAUCCCUGAAGUACAUGGUGUACAGCACCCUGCAGGCACAUUGAAAAACAUUUUUUAUACUGUAUAGAGACUUUUUAAACGUGUCAUUUCUAAACUUGUAUUUUUUGGCGUAUAACUUUGUCAUUGUCAUUUCUCUGCAAGUAAAGCACAGAAACCUUGUAUGUUUCUGCAGUACUGAAAUAAAAAAUAGGCAGUCUACAGUAGUGAACUACUUCACAGGUCAAACUGACUGCAGUAUUUCUUGUAAA